rnacentral:lncRNA from 1 species
AGAGAUGUCCUUGGCCGUGAAGUCCUGGUUGACUUGAUGGACAAUGAGUUGUGAGUCGCUGAAUAUCUGAAUUUGCUUGGCGCCCAUCUCCUUGGCUAGUGAAGGCCAACUAAGAGUGCUUCGUAUUCGGCCACAUUGUUAGAGCCGUGGAAUUUGAAGCGGAGGGCGUACUCAAGGACAACCUUGUCUGGAGAGAUGAGAAAGAGGCCGGUCCCACAUCCUUGACUAUUGAAGGAGUCAUCCACAUAUAAGGGCCACAAGGGUUGGGUCAGGUCUAGGGUGCCAGUGCUGGUGACGUGGUCCUGGCUCAAAGGACGGCCCCACAUCCUUGACUAUUGGAGGAGUCAUCCACAUAUAAGGGCCACAAGGGCUGGGUCAGGUCUAGGGUGCCAGUGCUGGUGACGUGGUCCUGGCUCAAAGGAAGAUUGGGUUCGGUUAUG